CUUAAAUUGAAGAGUUUGAUCAUGGCUCAGAUUGAACGCUGGCGGCAGGCCUAACACAUGCAAGUCGAGCGGAAACGAGUUAUCAGAACCUUCGGGGGACGAUAACGGCGUCGAGCGGCGGACGGGUGAGUAAUGCCUAGGAAAUUGCCCUGAUGUGGGGGAUAACCAUUGGAAACGAUGGCUAAAACC
rnacentral:rRNA from 1 species